GACGAACGCUGGCGGCGUGCCUAAUACAUGCAAGUAGAACGCUGAAGAGAGGAGCUUGCUCUUCUUGGAUGAGUUGCGAACGGGUGAGUAACGCGUAGGUAACCUGCCUUGUAGCGGGGGAUAACUAUUGGAAACGAUAGCUAAUACCGCAUAACAAUGGAUGACACAUGUCAUUUAUUUGAAAGGGGCAAUUGCUCCACUACAAGAUGGACCUGCGUUGUAUUAGCUAGUAGGUGAGGUAUCGGCUCACCUAGGCGACGAUACAUAGCCGACCUGAGAGGGUGAUCGGCCACACUGGGACUGAGACACGGCCCAGACUCCUACGGGAGGCAGCAGUAGGGAAUCUUCGGCAAUGGGGGCAACCCUGACCGAGCAACGCCGCGUGAGUGAAGAAGGUUUUCGGAUCGUAAAGCUCUGUUGUAAGUCAAGAACGAGUGUGAGAGUGGAAAGUUCACACUGUGACGGUAGCUUACCAGAAAGGGACGGCUAACUACGUG
rnacentral:rRNA from 1 species